rnacentral:rRNA from 1 species
GACGAACGCUGGCGGCGUGCUUAACACAUGCGAGUCGAACGGAAAGGCCCUGCUUUUGUGGGGUGCUCGAUUGGCGAACGGGUGAGUAACACGUGAGUAACCUGCCCUUGUCUUUGGGAUAACUUCAGGAAACUGGGGCUCAUACCGGGUAUGAUCUCCUGCUGCAUGGUGGUGGUUGGAAAGUUUCGGCGGUUGGUGAUGGACUCGCGGCUUAUCAGCUUGUUUGUGUGGUAGUGGCUUACCAGGGCUUUGACGGGUAGCCGGCCUGAGAGGGUGACCGGCCACAUUGGGACUGAGAUACGGACCAGACUCCUACGGGCGGCAGUAGUGGGGAAUAUUGCACAAUGGGGGGAAGCCUGAUGCAGCAACGCCGCGUGCGGGAUGACGGCCUUCGGGUUGUAAACCGCUUUCGAAUGUGACGAAGCGUGCGUGACGGUAAUGGGUAAAGAAGCACCGGCUAACUACGUG